rnacentral:rRNA from 1 species
UACGAAGGGGGCUAGCGUUGCUCGGAAUCACUGGGCGUAAAGCGCACGUAGGCGGAUUGUUAAGUCAGGGGUGAAAUCCUGGAGCUCAACUCCAGAACUGCCUUUGAUACUGGCGAUCUUGAGUCCGGGAGAGGUGAGUGGAACUGCGAGUGUAGAGGUGAAAUUCCUAGAUAUUCGCAAGAACACCCGUGGCGAAGGCGGCUCUCUGGGACGGUACUGACGCUGAGACGCGAAAGCGUGGGGAGCGAACAGG